rnacentral:lncRNA from 1 species
CCAAUUCAGUGAGAUACAAAUUGCCUGCUGCUCACUUUUCCUCAAAAUGAAUGGAAAUUUCAAAACAAUUCCCACCAUUUAUAUUACAUAAAACAAAAUGGACCAUGAUGAAUUUACACUAUUCUAUGCUGAACACGUACUAGUUCAUUAUUAUAGAGGCAACAGACUAACACAUAAAUUUGAAAGCCCACUAGUAAUACUGGAGCAAUUCAGAGACAUUAACACUUUCUGAAAAUUAAGCUAACGUUCAUUUUGAACUAACAAUUAUAAUGGAAAUGGAAAAUUAUCUAGAUGAAGCGCACAAAAAUUUAAACCAGAAAAGCAUCAAAUUAAAACUCACAUAAACAAACCGCAACAUCAUGUAUGAAGAAAACAACUGAUUGGAUUAGUGAAGCAAUUUCAACCAAAGAGAAAAUAAAAAGUUUAAGCACUAAUGUAAAUCCAAAGUAAUAUGGAACAUGUACAAUUGCAACAAUUUCUUAAAAUAUUGACCAAAUGAUGUCCUUGAACCAUAGACCUAGAGUUUCACCGGAAACUUCGAACAGAACCCCGACCCGAUCUCGAAACUCGCCGGAACAGCUACAAAAUUCAAAAACGGACCUCGAAUCGGCACGAUCAAUUUCGAAUCCACAUACAAACUCUACUAACCUCCAUUUUUUAAUGAAAAUCGAAAGACAACGCCUCUGGUUUUGAUAGGAAAGUCGGAAAAAAAAUCAAACAAGAAAACCAGAGCAAUUUUCCGUUUUUUAUCGACGCUCUCUCGUUUUUUCCGUGUUUUGUUUUCUGUCCAGCCCCCUUUUCGUUUUUCUUUUUUGCUUUUUGAAUUUUUUCAUCUGUUUCUCCUCGUUAUUUUUUCUAUCC